GUCCCGUCGAGGACUCUCGGUUGAGUUUCGACGAGUAGUCACGCUUUAACUCGCGAUCCGCGAGGCGGAUGUUAUCCGGAACGCGAGUUCACAGGUGCAGGUGUGCCCAGAUGUAACACGCGAAAGCUUUGAAAAAGCUGGUUGAUCCUAGCUCCUGCACCCUGUGCCAGAAACAUCCGGACGGAGACGUGGUUUUGAGCUGGUGACGAAACUCCAGGAGCCAGGAGACAGGUGCGAGUGUCAGGUGUCGUAGAUAGGUGUUGGGGUGUUUUAGAUCUUCGAGCCUGGGUCUGUCUUUAUUCGACGAAUACGCGGCCACCGUUACAAUAGAAUCGUUGUUUCGAACACUUGUGGAUCGAAGCAACUCUAACGAAUCACAUACAUAUACGCGGCGACAGGUGUAUUUUUUAAAGGUGAUAGUAGUCGUGGAAGGUGUGGAAAGAUUCAAAGAUUCAUUGAUCACACAGCAACACGGGACACUCGCUGUCUUGGAUACGCGCCUUCGCCUGUUCGAGUCGUUUAAGGUAAACACCGGUGUGUGCCACCGAUCGGCCGAGAUAUCUAGGUCAACAGGCAGUGGCCAGAGGCAACUAGUUGCGGCUGUAAUCGUUCCUGUAACCGAGGCCAGCGGCAGACGUUGUGUUCUUUUUUGGUUGAAAGAAGGAAGAAAGAAGAGAUCGUUCGUGAUAAUCUAACGCUGGACCAAUAAACGUCCGAGAUACCAGAGGCGGGAGGAUUUAUCUAAGAGGUGUCGAGAGAAGAACGGAGAGAAAUAGCUAGGCGAGAAAGGGGUCUAUUGUUCGUUAAGGUCGCGUCGCUCACGAUCGGAUUUCCUUGAUUACGGUUACGGUAUCGACGCGAAGGAACAGCAGCCGUGUUCUUUCCGGUGGAGGAAGAAAGUAAGAGAAUUUCGAUCAAUCUUGGCCAAGCGACGCGAGACGCGUUAUCCUUCAUCCUCGUUCUGGACGCGACUUUUGCCGAUUAUACGCGCUGAUGACAACUACGGAUUUAUUAUCAAUUUUCGUUAAUUAGAAUGAUCCUCGGAUGUUUAUGUCUCUUCAUUCGAGUUGUUAGUUAAGGCGAAGGAACGAAGGAAGGGAAGAAGCAAAAAGACAAUAAAGUGUAUCAUAUCCGAGAAGAUCGAAGCCAAUUGGAAUAUUACAGAAAUGAUUGGUUGAUCCGUCUUUUAUCGUGUUUUGAAAUAUUUUUAUUCGGCUUAUUCGAUAUUCGUUAGUUAGAGUGUUUGUAGCAGUGAACGGGAAUUACCAAGGCCUAAUUAAGGAUUUAGUUUUGUAAUGAUUCAAGUGUCGUCGAUUGCGCGAUAGAGUUUAGUGAUAGUUAUCUAGAGAGGCGGUUUGUAGGAGUGCUCAGAGCAAAGAUAACGGCCUUGAAACUUUUCCAUGCACGGAUCGGAAGACCGAGCUAGACAAGAUGCUCUAUGCCUGACAGCGUGACUACAGCUAAAGGUCGUGAUCGAUCGACUUACUUCGAUGGCCUAAAAGAACUUUAAACGUUCAAGGUCAUUAUGCAUAGCGAUAAAACGGAAACGUAAAGUGCGGACAAGUCGGUUGGUCCGUUCGAUUGUUACGACACCUAGCUAUUUCGUUUUGAAAUAGCGUAACGCACGAUUCCUAUUCUAUUCCAUUGCAUUUGGCCAAGAAUCUAGUCUCAAUAGAAAAUCUUCGUUACAGGCCAGAUGAGGCGAUAGCGGAAUUCGUUAAUCCGCACGAUGUCGUGUCAAGGAUACUCAACCGAUCAAGAACGUCCUGGCAUUCGCGAAAUGUGCCACGCACAUCCCUCGAUCUCUCUCGAGUUCUUACAGAGUUUUUAUAAGACUUCACAGACACCGUCGUGCUUAACGAAGCGACGAUAACGGAGGAUCGCUUCGUCAGGACUCAGGCUGUUCUCGCAUCACCUAUACGUUGUAUCAUCUAAUUCCACUCUAAAAGCGGAACGUAAAAGCAACGUCGUCGGACUGAUAGAAUUAACGAAACCACAAAGCGUACCGAUCGUAUUUCCUCGUUUCCACACGGUCCUAAACAUCGCACAGCCUAAAACCUCAGGUGGAUCAACAAAGGCAAAUCCUCGUCGAUCCUCGCUUUAAUUAACGCUUUGAUCAAACAACCUCUAGACCAGUCGCAAGCCAAAGUGUUCGCCAGAUGACAUAGUUCGCUAAAUGAGAUCACCGAAGCGACUUGCCGAUUGAACGAUUCAGAAAGCUGCUACUUGUGGUCGAUGCGAAAGGAGGCUCGACGGUCGACCUCGCGAACGAAACAGCUCCCGACCCCUUAGUAGUCAACGGACAAAAGCGGCCUGGCCGGCACUCGAUGAGUCCUAGUGAAGAUAAGGAUCCUCGAAAACCCUUGAUCGUUUGCCUGGAACGUCUGAAGAAGCUCCGGUUGGCACCUAUUUGAGAGCGGUCGGGUGAUGCGCGGGAGCAGCUCUGAACUCCUGCUGGAGGCAAGUUGCGUCCAGUGUCAGAGCGAUCACCACGCCGGCGAGCACACCACCAGGCAUCAGCAGCAGCAUCAGCUAAACGAGAAACACGACUUCCAGGAGCGAGAGCUACGUCGUCGCAAACUGUUGGAGCUCGGGUUCGGCGCUUCGCGGCGCCGACCGCCACGGCGUACCUGCCGUCAGCGGUUCAACUUUUACGCCACCUCGGCGUUGGCAUUCGUCGCGACGUCCGGCGGUGCGGCCCUAUUAUUUUUGGUGCCGCUAUACGUCGAUCCGGCCAUCAGCACUCUGGCUGCCGAUUUCUCGCCAGAUCCGGUCAUCUGCACCACCUCCAGGCGCGAAGAACUCGCUGGCUUGUUCAAUUGUACCUGGAGUUCCUGCCGCGAAGGAUGCACCAGUGACGUUUAUAGGUGUACGCAUAUAUACGUCACGUAUACACCAUGGAGCAAUACGAGCAUGAAGAAUGACACCGGGGGUAGAGGCAAUUCGGAGAACUCUACCGGCGUCACGCACACCUCAACCACUUCGGUGCCGACGCCAGGCGACGUGGAGGCAGUGCUCCUGGUGAACAUCAAGGGGUGCGGCUAUCCGCCGAUCGUCGACUGCGAAAACUUCACCCGCGAACUAGGCUACGAAGGCGCGAAAUUCCCCUGCCAUUACAGCCGCGUGAACGGCAGCAUAGUGAUGGCGAACUAUAACCGUGAGGCGCAGGUCACCACCAUCAUACACUUCUUCGCGGCGCCUUUCGUAGUGACUCUCGCGACCAGCGUCGCUCUGUGUGUGAUGCACUGUGACUGCAGGUGCAGUCCACCGCCACGGCAUUCGUCGCGAGGAAUGAGAAGAGGCAGGGGCAACGAUCUCAGAAUCGAGUUAUGUAAAUUCUGCAACAUACAUAUCGGCCGUUAGAACCGUCACUGUUAAUAUACUCGGUGUGAGUAUACACCAGCUUGGUUGAACUUAAUGGAAGAACUAAAAAUAAGAUAUAUAAAAUGUUCAAUUGUUAUCAUUUUAACAGUAUCACUUUUAAUUGAUUAUUCAGCAAAUUUUUUCAUUCCAUUUUAUUAAAAAAAAGUUUCAUUCAAAUCUAUUAUGGAUCCACACAGCAUAUUCGCGAGAAAUGCUUCAAAGAAAGUUUUGCUUGAUGAAAGCUUGUGUGUUGCACUGCUGAUUGCCGAGAUAUAGGCUAUGGAAACACACGUCUGCGUGAUGCGAAAAUAUCUCGAUAUACAUAUAACACAGAAUACCGCAGUUUAUAUUAUUCUGAUAUUUACGUAAAUAUUAAUAAUCUCGAAGAGACUAACUUGCGCCAAUGAAACGUUUCCAGCGACGAAGGUGGGAAAUGUUCCUUUGGCCCUCUAUACAUUAUCACGUUCGGGAUAUUGUGCAGGGAGUUAAAAAACGGGAGUUCAGAAAUUUGCAGAUUUCGAGUGCUCGAUGAGCUAAGCAAAGCUGAUUUAUCGUCAGCCGACUGUUUUAUAUAAAAAUCAUUCACGCAACUUUAUUAUUUAUUAUACUCGUAAUUGCCUUGAAUUUCAAAAUUGUAAGUUGUCGUUUUCUGUUGUUUACUUUUCCAUAUUAUCAGAAUCGAAGAAAAAGUUCUGAAAUAAAAGAAACAUAAUUUUUAUUAUUAUCCAACCAAGAACCGACAAGUUGCGUUGAAACAGUUAAUCUGAAAAUGUUUAAUGUCAAUAACAAUUUCUUGCCCAGGGACAUCGAAUAUUAGAAGCCAUCAAUUUCCGAAAUCACCUUUUUUAAAUCUCUGCACUUAUUGCUUCUAACUUGUGUGCUAUUUUAUUAUUGUUGAUCGACUCGCACGAAUGUUUCUCACGUAUGCGUCUUUGUGAAAGAAUCUUAAUUAUUAAAGUCAUUUACAUAUAAUAUAACAAGUAUAUUAGCGUACACAUCGAAGCAUCGUCUAUUUUAAAUCGAUCGAAGAAGAUAAAAAAGCUAGACUGCGAUCGAUUCGUAAACUCGUGUAAGCUUACCUGUACGUUUCCCAAGUUUUUGGAAACACAAUUCGAUGGACCAGUCGCAUUUUGUUUUAUGUGUGCGUUCGUGUACCGUGCCAAGAUCUCUUCGAGUUAUCGAUACGAUUUGUUUUUCAGCUACUUCCAUCGACAUUGCCAAAAAUCGUCCGACUUGCGACUAUGGUGUCGUCGGCAGAUCGGUCUUUCGAGCAAAGAUUCGACGCUACAGACGCGGCUGCGACGCAAUCGAGGAUGAAAGAUCGUCGUUUGCGAUUUUCAUCGACGCGCUUGUGCACGGAAAUCGAGACACGAGAUCGUCGUAUGGACGACGUGAUGGCGCGCGCGAAUUGCCGGAAGUUAUAGUCUCGCGAUGCAGAGCUGCAGCUGGAACGCAUGGAGCACUGAGAAGAUCCGGGCUCCACGGUAAAAGUUCUCGCGGAAGUUAGAAAUGCAAAUUCCUGGUAACCGCGCUGAAGCGGAAUCCCGUUUUUAAGGGUGAGAGGAGGAGAAGGAGAAAGAAUUUCUUGGAGUCUCUCGGCGAGCUAGACUCGUAUCGAUGAACGGCGUACAUUAUGCUUGAAUGAAUGUAUGUAACUAUGGUGUAUCAUUGAAUGUAAUAAAAGAAUUGUACAGAGAUA